ACAAUAUACAAGGUGCUGCAUGGUUGUCGUCAGCUCGUGCCGUGAGGUGUCGGGUUAAGUCCCAGUAACGAGCGCAACCCCUAUCAUUAGUUGCCAUCAGGUCAAGCUGGGGACUCUAAUGAAACUGCCUACGCAAGUAGUGAGGAAGUGGGGAUGACGUCAAAUCAGCACGGCCCUUACGUCCAGGGCUACACACGUGCUACAAUGGCCGGUACAAAGGGCAGCUACCUGGUGACAGGAUGCAAAUCUCCAAAGUCGGUCUCAGUUCGGAUCGGAGUCUGCAACCCGACUCCGUGAAGUUGGAUUCGCUAGUAAUCGCGCAUCAGCCAUGGCGCGGUGAAUACGUUCCCGGGCCUU
rnacentral:rRNA from 1 species